rnacentral:lncRNA from 1 species
CAGGCAUUAUCAAGCUUGAAAAUUAUGACCAGAUUAGCCUCAACCGUUCAGGGUUCGACCACUUCGGUAGUAUAAAGCUGCGUCCUGUGGAGGACCUGGUUGUACUUUUUUUUAUGUAGGAUCUCAUUAAAAAGUGAUUAAAAAAAUGGUCAACAAAUGAUAAAAAAAGUUUGGAUGGGAUUAUUUCAUGAGAUAUAUUUAUAUAUCUGUAUUGAUAUUGAAAAAUGUAUACUUUUAACAUAUCUGCAAUGCCCAUAAUUUGGAGGGAAAAAAAGGCAUUUGUUUCCAUACUUGGUUUAAAUUAAGACCAACAGACAUUUGAAUUUAUUUUUAACAUGCCUAUGAUGAUGAUAAAAACAGUCGUUUCAAA